rnacentral:rRNA from 1 species
GACGAACGCUGGCGGCGUGCCUAAUACAUGCAAGUCGAACGCACGAAGUUGAAGAGCUUGCUCUUUAACCAAGUGAGUGGCGGACGGGUGAGUAACACGUGGGUAACCUGCCCAUUAGAGGGGGAUAACAUUCGGAAACGGAUGCUAAUACCGCAUAGUCUCAGGGAUCGCAUGAUUCUUGAAGGAAAGGUGGCUUGGGCUACCACUAAUGGAUGGACCCGCGGCGUAUUAGCUAGUUGGUGAGGUAAUGGCUCACCAAGGCAAUGAUACGUAGCCGACCUGAGAGGGUGAUCGGCCACACUGGGACUGAGACACGGCCCAGACUCCUACGGGAGGCAGCAGUAGGGAAUCUUCCGCAAUGGACGAAAGUCUGACGGAGCAACGCCGCGUGAGUGAAGAAGGUUUUCGGAUCGUAAAACUCUGUUGUUGAAGAAGAACAAGGAUGAGAGUAACUGCUCAUCCCCUGACGGUAUUUAACCAGAAAGCCACGGCUAACUACGUGCCAGCAGCCGCGGUAAUACGUAGGUGGCAAGCGUUGUCCGGAUUUAUUGGGCGUAAAGCGAGCGCAGGCGGUUCUUUAAGUCUGAUGUGAAAGCCCCCGGCUCAACUGGGGAGGGUCAUUGGAAACUGGAGAACUUGAGUGCAGAAAAGGAGAGUGGAAUUCCACGUGUAGCGGUGAAAUGCGUAGAUAUGUGGAGGAACACCAGUGGCGAAGGCGACUCUCUGGUCUGUAACUGACGCUGAGGCUCGAAAGCGUGGGGAGCAAACAGG